GGCUUUCGCCUGGCGCCUGCGUUUUUAAAGUUGCUUGCCAUAUUGCAUCUUCUAAUGGCUGCUGUGAUCUGGUUACGAAGGCCUCGGCGUGAGCCUGGAAGAAAGAUUGUCCUGGUGUAAGCAUAUCGAAUCUAUUUGUUCCAAGAUGUCUGCCUUUUUUAUGCAAUUAUCUGACAAACCUGACCCGAACGAAAAUCGGGUUCUUGAAUAAAGAAUUUGAGAGAAGAAGCUAUUCCAAAGUGAGUUUGUUAACAUUCACUGGUGGAAUCGAAUGACGAAUGGUGGCGAAGAGAAUCAACUUAAUUUGCUUACUAGGAAGUUUACAAUUCAUAGCGAAGCAAUGCAGCUCGAUGACGCAGUUGCAAAACAAAGAAGCUGGUAUGCAUAACUCGUGGUUUAAUAACAGCGUUGUGAUUCUUACGACGCCUUCAAAUGAGGCAUUUUCAGGGCCUCUCGAUGACCUGAAAGUAGCGAGAGCGUGAUAGCUGUUUGAUAGCUUAUAUGAAACUGCGAUAUA